rnacentral:rRNA from 1 species
ACUAGCAUAUCAAUAAGCGGAGGAAAAGAAACCAACAGGGAUUGCCUUUAGUAACGGCGAGUGAAGCGGCAACAGCUCAAAUUUGAAAGCUGGCUCCUUCGGAGUCCGCGUUGUAAUUUGUAGAGGAUGAUUCGGCGAGGGCUCCCGCCUAAGUCCCCUGGAACGGGGCGUCAUAGAGGGUGAGAAUCCCGUAUGCGGUGGGUUGCCUUAGCCAUGUGAAUCUCCUUCGACGAGUCGAGUUGUUUGGGAAUGCAGCUCUAAAUGGGAGGUAAAUUUCUUCUAAAGCUAAAUACCGGCCAGAGACCGAUAGCGCACAAGUAGAGUGAUCGAAAGAUGAAAAGCACUUUGGAAAGAGAGUUAAAAAGUACGUGAAAUUGUUGAAAGGGAAGCGCUUGCAGCCAGACUUGUCCGCAGUUGCUCAACCGGUCUCCUGACCGGUGUACUCUUCUGCGGCCAGGCCAGCAUCAGUUCGGGCGGUCGGAUAAAGGCCCUGGGAAUGUAGCUCCUCUCGGGGAGUGUUAUAGCCCAGGGUGGAAUGCGGCCAGCCUGGACUGAGGAUCUCGCUUCGGCUAGGAUGCUGGCGUAAUGGCUGUAAGCGGCCCGUCUUGAAACACGGACCAAGGAGUCUAACAUCUAUGCGAGUGUUUGGGUGUCAAACCCAUGCGCGUAAUGAAAGUGAACGGAGGUGGGAACCCUCACGGGUGCACCAUCGACCGAUCCUGAUGUCUUCGGAUGGAUUUGAGUAAGAGCAUAGCUGUUGGGACCCGAAAGAUGGUGAACUAUGCCUGAAUAGGGUGAAGCCAGAGGAAACUCUGGUGGAGGCUCGCAGCGGUUCUGACGUGCAAAUCGAUCGUCAAAUUUGGGUAUAGGGGCGACCGACUAAUCGAACCAUCUAGUAGCUGGUUCCUGCCGAU